rnacentral:lncRNA from 1 species
ACAUUACAGCGAAUUUCAUGCUAUAUCGAACUUAAAAACGUUAAAAUACAGCAACAGAUUCAGUAUUCAAAAUCAUUAAGCUGGAAAAGGUGCAUUCACAAAAAAGCAAAUAAAUAAACGCAAUAGAGAACACGAAUUUACAAGAAUAAGCUGAUGAUCUGAAAAUCAACUAACAAUAAUAACUGGAAGAGAAAUUUAUAUAUUAUUAUGCGAUGAAGAAAAAAACGAAGAGAUGGAAGGAGAGAGAGAACUGACGGAGGUUUUUGGGAAUGCGAGAACGGAGGGAGACUUGAAGGUAGGCGGAGGAGAGGGAUCGGAUGUUGCAAUUAAGAGAGUUGGAACCGCGGAGGAACGGCUUCGAAGAGAGAGAGGUAGAAGAAGAAGCCAUUGAAAAUAAACGCAGGUGGAAGAAGAAAAUUGGUGAAUUGAAUUGAAAUGAGUAAUAAGGAGGGAGCGGUUGAGGUUUGGUGGUUGAAACUUGAGAUACAAAAGAAAGGGGUUGGUGGUGGUGACAGCAAGUUUAGAAUAAACAAUAAGUGUUGCUUGUUUUUUUAUUAACUCUUCCGUACAUAAAUAUAAGCUCUAUCAUUAGAUACUCACAUGUCCUCUUUGAUCAGUAUUAGGUACAAAUACAUGGAUUGGAGUUCCAGUAGUAAGUCCUGCAAUUAACAAAUUAUACUUCAGUGUUUCUUUUUUUUGGCAAUAAAUAUACAGCUUCCCAACUAAUAUAUAGAAAAAUAUCAACCUUCGGAGACUCCUGAAAAUAUUUUACACGUAUCAGUCUCCUUUCUAGGAGUUGUAAUUCGGCUUUGGCCUGGCCUCCUAUACACAAGAACUGUACAAUGUUACUCUUUAGAGACAUUUUGUGAUGCAUAAAAAACAAGCAUUUCCUAUCAUUCAUAGUUACAACAAUGAAAAGCUAUCUUAAAAUAUAUUCAUCUUUAGCCUGUUAAGUGUUUUCCACUAUGCAGUACCUUCUGUCAAGAUCAACUUGCAUGUCAGACUCGGAGAGAGGGAUGCGAGGAGGACACCCAUCAAUGACACAACCAACACCUCCUCCAUGAGACUCUCCAUAUGUUGUCACCCGGAAGUGAUUUCCAUAGGUACUCCCGGCUGCCCGUAUCUCUGUAAUUCACCAAUGACUUCAGAAACUCAAAACAAUGUCCAUCUCAAUAUCAUUAACUAUGAACUCUUAAAUGCAUAACUGGCAUAAGAUUACAAACCAACCAGUUCUUUUAAUUUCAUUAUCAUUUAAGAAACACUCAAACCUAAGUUAGAAGCAGUUCGAACUAAGUAUACAUCAUCUAGGAAGCUUAAAAUCUAAAAUCCUAAUAGGUACUUAGGUAGAAAGUUUCAGGAAAUAAAUAAAUAAAUCAAAUUAAGAAUCAAUUUCACAUAAGAUGAAACAUGUAUGUAAUCCCCCUCCGAGGAGUUCUUACAUGAACUAAAAACGAAAUCAACAAUUACAAUGAACACAUUACAGCGAAUUUCAUGCUAUAUCGAACUUAAAAACGUUAAAAUACAGCAACAGAUUCAGUAUUCAAAAUCAUUAAGCUGGAAAAGGUGCAUUCACAAAAAAGCAAAUAAAUAAACGCAAUAGAGAACACGAAUUUACAAGAAUAAGCUGAUGAUCUGAAAAUCAACUAACAAUAAUAACUGGAAGAGAAAUUUAUAUAUUAUUAUGCGAUGAAGAAAAAAACGAAGAGAUGGAAGGAGAGAGAGAACUGACGGAGGUUUUUGGGAAUGCGAGAACGGAGGGAGACUUGAAGGUAGGCGGAGGAGAGGGAUCGGAUGUUGCAAUUAAGAGAGUUGGAACCGCGGAGGAACGGCUUCGAAGAGAGAGAGGUAGAAGAAGAAGCCAUUGAAAAUAAACGCAGGUGGAAGAAGAAAAUUGGUGAAUUGAAUUGAAAUGAGUAAUAAGGAGGGAGCGGUUGAGGUUUGGUGGUUGAAACUUGAGAUACAAAAGAAAGGGGUUGGUGGUGGUGUUUGGUAGUCUCAGUGGUGGCAAUUUCUGUAAUUAUAUUCAAAUUUCUGCCCACCUUCC